rnacentral:rRNA from 1 species
UACGUAGGGGCAAGCGUUGUCCGGAUUCAUUGGGCGUAAAGAGCGUGUAGGCGGCCAGGUAGGUCGGUUGUGAAAACUGGAGGCUCAACCUUCAGAGGGUCGACCGAAACCAUCUGGCUAGAGUCCGGGAGAGGAGAGUGGAAUUCCUGGUGUAGCGGUGAAAUGCGCAGAUAUCGUAAGGAAGACCAGUGGCGAAGGCGGGUCUCUGGACAGUUC